AUUGAACGCUAGCGGGAUGCCUUACACAUGCAAGUCGAACGGCAGCGCGGACUUCGGUCUGGCGGCGAGUGGCGAACGGGUGAGUAAUGUAUCGGAACGUGCCCAGUAGCGGGGGACAACCACUCGAAAGAGUGGCUAAUACCGCAUACGCCCUACGGGGAAAGGGGGGGAUCGCAAGACCUCUCACUAUUGGAGCGGCCGAUAUCGGAUUAGCUAGUUGGUGGGGUAAAGGCCUACCAAGGCGACGAUCCGUAGCUGGUUUGAGAGGACAACCAGCCACACUGGGACUGAGACACGGCCCAGACUCCUACGGGAGGCAGCAGUGGGGAAUUUUGGACAAUGGGGGAAACCCUGAUCCAGCCAUUCCGCGUGUGCGAUGAAGGCCUUCGGGUUGUAAAGCACUUUUGGCAGGAAAGGAAUCGUGUGGGUUAAUACCCUGCGCGGAUGACGGUACCUGCAGAAUAAGCACCGGCUAACUACGUG
rnacentral:rRNA from 1 species